rnacentral:misc_RNA from 13 species
AUUUUUAGAAGUAUUUUUCGCUGCGCUGUUUCUAAUGUUCUAUUGAUGAAGGAGACAAAGGCGUUUCCUUACUUACUCGAUGAGGCGGAAGGCGUCCGACGGGCGUAAAACCCCGGCGAGAUGGUAUAUUUCGCCCUAAGCGCAAAGGGUCGUCGGUCUGUAAGGAGUCGCGCUCGCGCCGAGAAGGGCUUCGGCCCGGACCGGCUGCGCCGCGUCUCUCGGACCAGCCGGGCCUGCCGGCGACAUAUUCCAUGGCGUGAUCCGAUUCGAGGACACUACCAGGUUGGGAGUUCGGCUGGGGCGGUACAUCUGUCAAAUAAUAACGCAGGUGUCCUAAGGUCAGCUCAGCGAGGACAGAAACCUCGCGUAGAGCAAAAGGGCAAAAGCUGGCUUGAUCCCGAUGCUCAGUGCGCAUAGGGACUGCGAAAGCACGGCCCAUCGAUCCUUUUGGCUUGAAGAAUUUUCAGCAAGAGGUGUCAGAAAAGUUACCACAGGGAUGUGGUAUGUGGCGGCCAAGCGUUCAUAGCGACGUCGCUUGUUGAUCCUUCGAUGUCGGCUCUUCCUAUCAUUGCGAAGCAGAAUUCGCCAAGCGUCGGAUUGUUCACCCGCCAAUAGGGAACGUGAGCUGGGUUUAGACCGUCGUGAGACAGGUUAGUUUUACCCUUCUGAUGACAUGUCAUUGCUCUAAUAAUCCUGCUUAGUACGAGAGGAACAGCAAUUGGUUCAUGCACUCGGUGGUGCGAAGUUACAAUCCGUGGAAUUAUGCCUGAACCCCUCUAAGGCCGAAUCCCGACUAUGAGCAAUGAUACGCUGUGAGUCUCGUAAGUCGAAAGGCUCAAAAUCAUGCGACUUUAAUAGGCGGUCAGUUUACGAAUUUAUUUCCUAGGAGAGCCAUUCUUGACCAAUGUAUACUUCGAUUCCAAACCGAGAAAAAUUCUGAUUGAUUAAAGAAACAAAAAUCU